rnacentral:rRNA from 1 species
AGGAUGAACGCUAGCGGCAGGCCUAAUACAUGCAAGUCGAACGGUCGGUAGCAAUACUGAUAGUGGCGCACGGGUGCGUAACGCGUAGCCAACCUACCCACAUCUGGGGGAUAGCCCGCCGAAAGGCGGAUUAAUACCGCAUAAGACAGCGGAGCGGCAUCGCUUGGUUGUUAAAGAUUUAUUGGAUGUGGAUGGGGCUGCGUGCCAUUAGCUAGUUGGGGGGGUAACGCCCACCAAGGCGACGAUGGCUA